rnacentral:tRNA from 1 species
GGGGAAAUGGCUCAGUGGUUAAGAGCACUGGCUGCUCUUCCAGAGGUCCUGAGUUCAAUUCCCAGCAACCACA